GAUGAACGCUAGCGGCAGGCCUAACACAUGCAAGUCGAGGGGGAAGUUACUUUCGGGUGACUGAGACCGGCGUACGGGUGCGUAACGCGUAUACAAUCUGCCUUUCACUGGGGGAUAGCCCGAAGAAAUUUGGAUUAAUACCCCAUAGUAUAUAGGGACGGCAUCGUUUUUAUAUUAAAGCUUAGGUGGUGAAAGAUGAGUAUGCGUUCUAUUAGCUAGUUGGAGGGGUAACGGCUCCCCAAGGCGAUGAUAGAUAGGGGUUCUGAGAGGGAUGUCCCCCACACUGGUACUGAGAUACGGACCAGACUCCUACGGGAGGCAGCAGUGAGGAAUAUUGGACAAUGGUCGGAAGACUGAUCCAGCCAUGCCGCGUGCAGGAUGAAGGUCUUAUGGAUUGUAAACUGCUUUUGUAAGGGAAGAAUAAGGGCUACGCGUAGUUUGAUGACGGUACCUUACGAAUAAGCAUCGGCUAACUCCGUG
rnacentral:rRNA from 1 species